rnacentral:rRNA from 1 species
UACAGAGGGUGCAAGCGUUAAUCGGAAUUACUGGGCGUAAGGCGUGCGUAGACGGUUACAUAAGUCGGGUGUGAAAGCCCCGGGCUCAACCUGGGAAUUGCAUUCGAGACUGCGUAGCUAGGGUGCGGAAGAGGGAAGCGGAAUUUCCGGUGUAGCGGUGAAAUGCGUAGAUAUCGGAAGGAACACCAGUGGCGAAAGCGGCUUCCUGGUCCAGCACCGACGUUCAGGCACGAAAGCGUGGGGAGCAAACAGG